rnacentral:sRNA from 1 species
GGCUGUUCCCCUCUGGAGGUUUCAUACCUUCACACCUGCAGGGCCCGAGCUUCGCUUGUGGCCCUCUUUUUUUGUCGGG